GAUGAAGAACGUAGCGAAAUGCGAUACGUAAUGUGAAUUGCAGAAUUCAGUGAAUCAUCGAAUCUUUGAACGCAUAUUGCGCUCUCUGGUAUUCCGGAGAGCAUGCUUGUUUGAGUAUCAGUAAACACCUCAACUUCCAUAUCUUUUUUGAAAUGGGAGUUGGACUUGAGUGAUCCCAACGCUUUUCCUCACCGAAAAGUGGCGGGUUACUUGAAAUGCAGGUGCAGCUGGACUUUUCUCUGAGCUAUAAGCAUAUCUAUUUAGUCUGCCUAAAAAACAGAUUAUUACCUUUGCUGCAGCUAACAUAAAGGAGAUUAGUUCUUGUGCUGACUGAUGCAGGAUUCACAAAGACGGCUUCGGCCGACUUUGUAAACUCGAUCUGAAAUCAAGUAAGACUACCCGCUGAACUUAAGCAUAUCAAUAAGCGGAGGA
rnacentral:misc_RNA from 1 species